CUGGGGUUACUGGGGCAUGUAACGGAGCGGUGCGAAUGCCUGCUACCGCCCCGCGAGCGCCCCCUAACGGUGCCUUCUCGGAGGGGGGGGUCGGUCCUGCAUUUCCAAGCCUUUCCCGAGGGGACUGGGGGAGCCCAGGGGCCCAAGAACACUAUUUGACCCUUUAAUGCAGACCAGUGCCACAGUGGGCCUGCAUCCUUAACCGACAACGAGAGUUUCUUGGACUUGAGUCUCCAAACUUUACAAGAAGUUACCUGCAGGCUGGAGAGCUGGCUCAGCAGUUAGGAGCACCGGCUGUGUUUUCCAGAGGACUCCAGUUUGAUUUUCAGCACCCACGAGGCAACUACAGUUCUAGGGGGAAUCUCAUGCCCUCUUCUGACCUCUGAGGGUACCAGGCACACAAGUAGUAUACGUCAUACAUUCAGAAUAAACACCCAUAUACAUAAAAUAUACUUUUUAAAAAGUUACCUGAGAUCUACUGUAAAAAUAUAUAGAUAAAAUAAAAAAUUGUACUACUCAUA